GUCAGAAUAAAGCUUCAAAAAAAUCCGAAAAAAUUAUUAAAAUUCAUUAUAAAUAUUGUUUUUUAGGAAUUCAAUAAAAAAUGAGGGUACUCCAUUAAGAAUUUUCAUGUUUUUGAAUGAAUAUGCGAAUAUUGAUAUGUUCUUCCCCUGCAUGAGCCGCCAUUCAACAUUUAAUUUACAUCACACAAAAGGAUAAACAUAGAAUUAUCAUGGAAUAAGUAUAUCAACAUACAUGGACUACAAUAAAGCAUAAAAUUAGUAACAUACGAUCUAAAUUAAGAUAUAAAAAGUUUAAAUUAACCUGACAGUUCAAAAAGAAAAAUAAUCACUAUAUGUAGUGAUAAUAUGUUGCGGUAGUUCAUGUAGUCAUAUUCGUUGUUAUUUGUUAUUGCAAAAGGACAAUAAUAUUUUCGUACAUAUCAAUUACAAACAUUUAGAAUAAUACAAAAUGCAAGCUCCAAACAUGGCUACAACUCAAUUAUCAAGAACAUACAUUUUUUGCAUUAAAAAAUUAAUAAUAAAAACAAUUCUUCAAAGAGCCGGCUAACAUCAGUCAUUCCAACUAAAAAAUCCAUGAAAAACAUAUAAAAAAAAUACAGUUUUGUAUUGAAAAUAUAAUAACAUGCAUCUUUUUGCAUAAAUAAUCCAUCAACAUACAAUUUUUUCAACAAAAACUUUAACA
rnacentral:lncRNA from 1 species